CCUACGGGUAGGCAGCAGUGGGGAAUAUUGCACAAUGGGCGCAAGCCUGAUGCAGCCAUGCCGCGUGUAUGAAGAAGGCCUUCGGGUUGUAAAGUACUUUCAGCGGGGAGGAAGGCGAUGUGGUUAAUAACCGCGUCGAUUGACGUUACCCGCAGAAGAAGCACCGGCUAACUCCGUGCCAGCAGCCGCGGUAAU
rnacentral:rRNA from 1 species